CCAACAUUUACUUCCGCAAGAAAACUUGUCCCUGAGAAACAGAGUCCGAUCGGAGAUAAAAGCUCUGUUCUUUGAUGCUCGAGCUAAUUCCCACAGAGAUCAUUCCAAUCAGCAUGGGACAAGCCGACAAGGCAUGUAAAUCAUCUUCAAACUCUGUAGAUCUUAUGAUUCCAAGAGGAGAAUUAUCUGUUGGUCCUCUCAGUUUAUCUGAUCAUUGCACCAAGGUAUCAAAUCUCACUAUUCGAGACUUCGAGUUAAGAUCAGGAUGGUUCAACGGCUUAACUCUUACCAGAGGUGGUGCAGCUUUUUUUUUUCUUUGUCAAAAAAAAAAAAACAGAGGAAGUGAAGCUGUCUCUUCUUUUUGUUGAUACUUAGAGCAAAAUAAAAGGAAAAAAUAAUAACUAUUUUCUUGCAACAAAAUUUGUUAAGAUGUCAAGUGUACUCUAUGCUUCUCUUAUCUUGUUGUAUCUUUUUCUUUGGGUCAAAUUUGUGGUUGUUUC